CCUACGGGUGGCAGCAGUGGGGAAUAUUGGACAAUGGGCGAAAGCCCGAUCCAGCCAUGCCGCGUGUGUGAAGAAGGCCUUCGGGUUGUAAAGCACUUUCAGUGGGGAAGAAAGCCUUGGGGCUAAUACCCUCGAGGAAGGACAUCACCCACAGAAGAAGCACCGGCUAACUCCGUGCCAGCAGCCGCGGUAAUACGGAGGGUGCGAGCGUUAAUCGGAAUUACUGGGCGUAAAGCGCGCGUAGGCGGUCUGAUAAGCCGGUUGUGAAAGCCCCGGGCUCAACCUGGGAACGGCAUCCGGAACUGUCAGGCUAGAGUGCAGGAGAGGAAGGUAGAAUUCCCGGUGUAGCGGUGAAAUGCGUAGAGAUCGGGAGGAAUACCAGUGGCGAAGGCGGCCUUCUGGACUGACACUGACGCUGAGGUGCGAAAGCGUGGGUAGCAAACAGGAUUAGAUACCCCAGUAGUC
rnacentral:rRNA from 1 species